GCCGGGCAAGGUGGCUUAUGCCUGUAAUCCCAGCACUUUGGGAGGCUGAGGUGGGAGGAUCACUUGAGCCCAAGAGGUCAAGGCUGCAGUGAGCCACGACUGCACCACUGCACUCUAGCCUGGGCUACAGAGUGAGACUCUGUCUCAA
ensembl:misc_RNA Metazoa_SRP Metazoan signal recognition particle RNA